rnacentral:rRNA from 1 species
GGGUUGUGAGGUUAAGCGACUAAGCGUACACGGUGGAUGCCCUGGCAGUCAGAGGCGAUGAAGGACGUGCUAAUCUGCGAUAAGCGUCGGUAAGGUGAUAUGAACCGUUAUAACCGGCGAUUUCCGAAUGGGGAAACCCAGUGUGAUUCGUCACACUAUCAUUAACUGAAUCCAUAGGUUAAUGAGGCGAACCGGGGGAACUGAAACAUCUAAGUACCCCGAGGAAAAGAAAUCAACCGAGAUUCCCCCAGUAGCGGCGAGCGAACGGGGAGCAGCCCAGAGCCUGAAUCAGUGUGUGUGUUAGUGGAAGCGUCUGGAAAGGCGCGCGAUACAGGGUGACAGCCCCGUACACAAAAAUGCACAUGCUGUGAGCUCGAUGAGUAGGGCGGGACACGUGGUAUCCUGUCUGAAUAUGGGGGGACCAUCCUCCAAGGCUAAAUACUCCUGACUGACCGAUAGUGAACCAGUACCGUGAGGGAAAGGCGAAAAGAACCCCGGCGAGGGGAGUGAAAAAGAACCUGAAACCGUGUACGUACAAGCAGUGGGAGCACGCUUAGGCGUGUGACUGCGUACCUUUUGUAUAAUGGGUCAGCGACUUAUAUUCUGUAGCAAGGUUAACCGAAUAGGGGAGCCGAAGGGAAACCGAGUCUUAACUGGGCGUUAAGUUGCAGGGUAUAGACCCGAAACCCGGUGAUCUAGCCAUGGGCAGGUUGAAGGUUGGGUAACACUAACUGGAGGACCGAACCGACUAAUGUUGAAAAAUUAGCGGAUGACUUGUGGCUGGGGGUGAAAGGCCAAUCAAACCGGGAGAUAGCUGGUUCUCCCCGAAAGCUAUUUAGGUAGCGCCUCGUGAAUUCAUCUCCGGGGGUAGAGCACUGUUUCGGCAAGGGGGUCAUCCCGACUUACCAACCCGAUGCAAACUGCGAAUACCGGAGAAUGUUAUCACGGGAGACACACGGCGGGUGCUAACGUCCGUCGUGAAGAGGGAAACAACCCAGACCGCCAGCUAAGGUCCCAAAGUCAUGGUUAAGUGGGAAACGAUGUGGGAAGGCCCAGACAGCCAGGAUGUUGGCUUAGAAGCAGCCAUCAUUUAAAGAAAGCGUAAUAGCUCACUGGUCGAGUCGGCCUGCGCGGAAGAUGUAACGGGGCUAAACCAUGCACCGAAGCUGCGGCAGCGACGCUUAUGCGUUGUUGGGUAGGGGAGCGUUCUGUAAGCCUGUGAAGGUGUACUGUGAGGUAUGCUGGAGGUAUCAGAAGUGCGAAUGCUGACAUAAGUAACGAUAAAGCGGGUGAAAAGCCCGCUCGCCGGAAGACCAAGGGUUCCUGUCCAACGUUAAUCGGGGCAGGGUGAGUCGACCCCUAAGGCGAGGCCGAAAGGCGUAGUCGAUGGGAAACAGGUUAAUAUUCCUGUACUUGGUGUUACUGCGAAGGGGGGACGGAGAAGGCUAUGUUGGCCGGGCGACGGUUGUCCCGGUUUAAGCGUGUAGGCUGGUUUUCCAGGCAAAUCCGGAAAAUCAAGGCUGAGGCGUGAUGACGAGGCACUACGGUGCUGAAGCAACAAAUGCCCUGCUUCCAGGAAAAGCCUCUAAGCAUCAGGUAACAUCAAAUCGUACCCCAAACCGACACAGGUGGUCAGGUAGAGAAUACCAAGGCGCUUGAGAGAACUCGGGUGAAGGAACUAGGCAAAAUGGUGCCGUAACUUCGGGAGAAGGCACGCUGAUAUGUAGGUGAAGUCCCUCGCGGAUGGAGCUGAAAUCAGUCGAAGAUACCAGCUGGCUGCAACUGUUUAUUAAAAACACAGCACUGUGCAAACACGAAAGUGGACGUAUACGGUGUGACGCCUGCCCGGUGCCGGAAGGUUAAUUGAUGGGGUUAGCGCAAGCGAAGCUCUUGAUCGAAGCCCCGGUAAACGGCGGCCGUAACUAUAACGGUCCUAAGGUAGCGAAAUUCCUUGUCGGGUAAGUUCCGACCUGCACGAAUGGCGUAAUGAUGGCCAGGCUGUCUCCACCCGAGACUCAGUGAAAUUGAACUCGCUGUGAAGAUGCAGUGUACCCGCGGCAAGACGGAAAGACCCCGUGAACCUUUACUAUAGCUUGACACUGAACAUUGAGCCUUGAUGUGUAGGAUAGGUGGGAGGCUUUGAAGUGUGGACGCCAGUCUGCAUGGAGCCGACCUUGAAAUACCACCCUUUAAUGUUUGAUGUUCUAACGUUGACCCGUAAUCCGGGUUGCGGACAGUGUCUGGUGGGUAGUUUGACUGGGGCGGUCUCCUCCUAAAGAGUAACGGAGGAGCACGAAGGUUGGCUAAUCCUGGUCGGACAUCAGGAGGUUAGUGCAAUGGCAUAAGCCAGCUUGACUGCGAGCGUGACGGCGCGAGCAGGUGCGAAAGCAGGUCAUAGUGAUCCGGUGGUUCUGAAUGGAAGGGCCAUCGCUCAACGGAUAAAAGGUACUCCGGGGAUAACAGGCUGAUACCGCCCAAGAGUUCAUAUCGACGGCGGUGUUUGGCACCUCGAUGUCGGCUCAUCACAUCCUGGGGCUGAAGUAGGUCCCAAGGGUAUGGCUGUUCGCCAUUUAAAGUGGUACGCGAGCUGGGUUUAGAACGUCGUGAGACAGUUCGGUCCCUAUCUGCCGUGGGCGCUGGAGAACUGAGGGGGGCUGCUCCUAGUACGAGAGGACCGGAGUGGACGCAUCACUGGUGUUCGGGUUGUCAUGCCAAUGGCACUGCCCGGUAGCUAAAUGCGGAAGAGAUAAGUGCUGAAAGCAUCUAAGCACGAAACUUGCCCCGAGAUGAGUUCUCCCUGACUCCUUGAGAGUCCUGAAGGAACGUUGAAGACGACGACGUUGAUAGGCCGGGUGUGUAAGCGCAGCGAUGCGUUGAGCUAACCGGUACUAAUGAACCGUGAGGCUUAACCUUACAACGCCGAAGCUGUU